CGCAGUCUGCAACUCGACUGCGUGAAGGCGGAGUCGCUAGUAAUCGCGGAUCAGCAACGCCGCGGUGAAUGCGUUCCCGGGCCUUGUACACACCGCCCGUCAAGCCAUGGAAGCCGGGGGCGCUUGAAGUGCGUUGCCGCAAGGCGCGCCCUAGAGCGAAACCGGUGACUGGGGCUAAGUCGUAACAAGGUACC
rnacentral:rRNA from 1 species